rnacentral:rRNA from 1 species
GACGAACGCUGGCGGCGUGCUUAACACAUGCAAGUCGAACGGAAAGGCCUCUUUCGGGGGGUACUCGAGUGGCGAACGGGUGAGUAACACGUGAGUAACCUGCCCUUGACUUUGGGAUAACUUCAGUAAACUGGGGCUAAUACCGGAUAGGAGCUCCUGCUGCAUGGUGGGGGUUGGAAAGUUUCGGCGGUUGGGGAUGGACUCGCGGCUUAUCAGCUUGUUGGUGGGGUAGUGGCUUACCAAGGCUUUGACGGGUAGCCGGCCUGAGAGGGUGACCGGCCACAUUGGGACUGAGAUACGGCACAGAUUCCUACGGGAGGCAGCAGUGGGGAAUAUUGCACAAUGGGUGGAAGCCUGAUGCAGCAACGCCGUGUGCGGGAUGACGGCCUUCGGGUUGUAAACCGCUUUCGCUCAUGACGAAGCUUUGUGUGACGGUAGUGGGUAAAGAAGCACCGGCUAACUACGUG